UCCAUCUUGCGCGACUGGCGAAGUCAGUGGGCACUACCACGAGGAAGCGCAAGUUUCUCUGGCGCGAUGUAUCAAGCGCCUGCCGCUCGCCUGGGCAGCGAAU
rfam:Cupriavidus sp. SK-3 Scaffold102, whole genome shotgun sequence.